CCCUUAGAUGUUCUGGGCCGCACGCGCGCUACACUGAUGCAUUCAACGAGUCUAAAACCUGCUCUGAUAGGGGUGGGUAAUCUUUUGAAUGUGCAUCGUGAUUGGGAUAGAUGAUUGCAAUUUUUCAUCUUCAACGAGGAAUGCCUAGUAAACGCAAGUCAUCAGCUUGCAUUGGUUACGUCCCUGCCCUUUGUACACACCGCCCGUCGCUCCUACCGAUUGAAUGAUCCGAUGAAUAUCAUGGAUUGAGGAUGUAAGCAGGUUCGCCUGUCUUCAUCUUCGAGAAGUGAAGUAAAUCUUAUCAUUUAGAGGAAGGAGAAGUCGUAACA
rnacentral:rRNA from 1 species